GGGACGCAGCCUCGCUCGUGACUACGGAGGGCAAGGAGAGAAGGGAAGGUGAUAAAAUGUAGAGCAGCCCUAACCUCGGUGAGGCACGACGGGAGUUGUAGUUCUCCCGCCUCGCGGCUCCGUUUAGGGGCGGAGCCCAGCGCGCAGCCUAGGCGGGGCCACGUGCGGCGGCGCUCUGCUCCGAGGUCGCUGCUCGCUCUGCAGGGAUGGGGUUGCUGCGGCUCCGUGCUUCUGGCGGCGCGCACCGGAGACCCCCCCCCCCCCGCCCCUUGCAUCGUGGACUCCAUUAACGUGAAACGGAGACUUUUAGAGCAAACAGGACUGACCGCGGCUUCCCGAGUACUUUCUCUGAGGCAUGUUCCGAGCUACGUGCUCUGAGUUCUUAACUACAUUCAUUUAAUCCUGCGAAGUCGGAAUUAUUUAGCCUCAUGUUACAGAUGAGGACACUGCAUGCCAACAAACAAGGCUCUGUAAGGACGUCAUCGUGGGGGGCGGGGCGGGGAGGGGGAAUCUGUUCAAAUCAGAAAGGAUUCUGAAGAAGGGGCACUAUUCCCCAGGUGGAAUUAUUUCUCUUUGGUUAGUGAUGCUGCAGAGUACCGGCUGCUUUGCAGUGUUUUGCAUUCUUCCUGGUGGAUUAAUUUGUUGUUUAUGUGUCUGUCUGCCUUUUGUAAGUUCCUGGAAGUUGGAACCCGGUUUUGUUCCUCUUUUCAGGAUGCUACUCCUUCUUCGGUCUAUACACAUUUAUCAAGCACUGAAGGAGGGUAGAGAUAGUGCUGGUGCUGAGGGGUCAGUGGUGAACACAUGCAGCAGACCAAUAGAAGGGCAAUGAGAAUAACUGUUAAAUGCUAAGAUAAAGUUAGUUCUGUGCAAACACCCAUGCCUGAGUAAAGGGGGGGGGGGGCAGUUCAGAGAAAACUGUGGUCUCAGGGACUACAGACAGUUUAAGGUGGUGGCUACAGUGGGGAGUGCUGGGAGAUGAAUCUGGAGCAGAGGCUGCCAAACUUUUUCUAUAAAGGGCCAAAGAGUAAAGAUUAUAGGGUUUUGUGGAUCAUACUGUCUUGGUCACAGCUACUCAACUUGAAGCUCAAAAGAAGCCAUAGAUAGUAUGAAUGGGUGGAGCUGUGUUCCAAUAAAGUUUUUUUUUUUUUUUUAUGGACAUUGAGGUUUGGAUUUCAUGUAGUGUUCACUGUCAUGAAAUAUUAUUCAUAUUUUGGUUUUGCAACCAUUUAAAAAUGUAAAAGCUUUACAUUGCAAACUACAUUAAAACAGGCAGGAGGCAGGAUUUGGCUGGCUGGUGGUGUGUCCUCUUCUGAUCAGAAAGCCAAAAUGGGGCCUGAGGACCUGUGUUAAACAAUUCAGGCUUUGUCUGGAGGACUGGGUGGAGUCAUAGGUAGGUUUUAAGCAAGGAUAGGGCAUGCAUGGGAAAAAUGAGUUUUAGAAAAGAACUCUAGCUGUUACAUGUUAAAAGAAUUGUAGAUGUCACAGGUGAAGACCAGAGAGGAGUCUUUUGAUGAUAGCUUAAGCUAAAGUAAUCGCAGUGCAAUGGACAAAUUCAAGAGGUAAUGGAAGUAGAACUGAUAGGAUUCAGAGGUUGGUGGGGGUGAGGGAAAGUGAAUGGUCAAAACUAACUUCUAAGCUUUGGGUUCAGAGAAUUAGGUGGCAUAUGGUGGUGCCAUUUAUUGCACUAAGAGGAUUGCAGGAGUUUUUUUGAAGAGGAGAGUAUUUAAAUGUCAGCCUUGUGGCUUUUGAAGUAUCUAUGGAAAAUGUAGGCCUGGAACUAUAGACUGCUAAUUGUGCUGGUUUGUUUGAAAGAAGAGAUUGAGUAGUCAUGAUGAUACAUACAUUUACUUAUUAAUACAGUAACAUUUUUGGGAAGAGUCAUCUGCUGUUCUGGGAGCCAGUUAGACCUUGGAAGACCAUAGGAGAGUUCGACAGAACAAAUAAGGGUAGGACUUCAUGGUCUUUCCUACUGUUGAGUGCUGCACAGCUGUACCUUGGGGGUCUUCCCACUGAUUACUUGAUUCUUCAAGACUAGGAAAAUACAGAUCAUUGCCCUGUUAUUAUGAGAUAUUCAGCUUUAGGUGCCAGAAUUCUUCUCAGUAGUCAAAGGAAGUCAUCAGAGCUUUUUUUUUUUUUUUUUUAGAGCUUUUGUUUUUAAGAAAAUAAUUAUAUAAUGAAGUAAAAUGACAAAGCCCUAUUUAUUUCUAGCCAAUUAUUUUAAAGGUCAAAGAUGGGUGCAUCAUAUCACAAUUCCUAGAACUAUUUUUUUCCUUCAAAGAUUGAUUUACGUAUUUUAGAGAGAGGGAGCAAGGGUGUAACAGCAAGAGUGGGUGGGGCAUAGGGAGAGGGAGAGUCCCGAGCAGACUCCGUACUGACCAUGGAGCCAGACUAAGGGCUCAAUCUCAUAAUCCUGAGAUUAGGACCCUGAGGUCAUGAGUGGAAACCACGAGUCAAAUGCUCAGCUGAUUGUGCCAUGCAGGCACCCGUCUUAUAACUGUUUUGAUUAUGAUUUCCUGGAGAUUUUAGGACCUGUGGUAUCUACAAACUAGCCUCUCAGGUAUUUAGCAUAACUGUAUCAAAAGUUUAUUUUGAGUCUGUUUCUACUGAAUAAAAUCUGAUGUAUGCUG
rnacentral:lncRNA from 1 species